GAUGAACGCUGGCGGCGUGCCUAAUACAUGCAAGUCGAGCGAAUGGAUUAAGAGCUUGCUCUUAUGAAGUUAGCGGCGGACGGGUGAGUAACACGUGGGUAACCUGCCCAUCAGACUGGGAUAACUCCGGGAAACCGGGGCUAAUACCGGAUAACAUUUUGAACCGCAUGGUUCGAAAUUGAAAGGCGGCUUCGGCUGUCACUUAUGGAUGGACACGCGUCGCAUUAGCUAGUUGGUGAGGUAACGGCUCACCAAGGCAACGAUGCGUAGCCGACCUGAGAGGGUGAUCGGCCACACUGGGACUGAGACACGGCCCAGACUCCUACGGGAGGCAGCAGUAGGGAAUCUUCCGCAAUGGACGAAAGUCUGACGGAGCAACGCCGCGUGAGUGAUGAAGGCUUUCGGGUCGUAAAACUCUGUUGUUAGGGAAGAACAAGUGCUAGUUGAAUAAGCUGGCACCUUGACGGAACCUAACCAGAAAGCCACGGCUAACUACGUGCCAGCCGCCGCCGUAA
rnacentral:rRNA from 1 species